UACGAAGGGGGCUAGCGUUGCUCGGAAUCACUGGGCGUAAAGGGUGCGUAGGCGGGUCUUUAAGUCAGGGGUGAAAUCCUGGAGCUCAACUCCAGAACUGCCUUCGAUACUGGAAAGCUCGAGUCCGGGAGAGGUGAGUGGAACUGCGAGUGUAGAGGUGAAAUUCGUAGAUAUUCGCAAGAACACCAGUGGCGAAGGCGGCUCACUGGCCCGGUACUGACGCUGAGGUGCGAAAGCGUGGGGAGCGAUCCGG
rnacentral:rRNA from 1 species